UUCAAAGCCGAAACACUUCAUGACGAUUAAAACAACGGGAAAAGGAGACCGCUUGUUACCGUCAUGGGGUAAUUUCAGUUACCAACCAUAACAAGACGAUUUUUAAAUAGUGCAUGUAAUGGGCCGUUGUUGCGAUUGUAUUCAUAAUGACAAAUUAAUUAGUGAGUUCCAGUUCGUCUGCUAAAUUAAAGUUAUGAGUUCAAAAGUUGUUUUUGCUAUCGUUUGCCUUACAUCCGUCCACCUGGCAAGUGAGACCGUUGCUGCGUCAGAGUCACGCACUUUCUCCAUUGACUACAAGAACAACUGCUUUAUAAAAGAUGGAAAGCCGUUCCAGUACGUCUCUGGAAGCAUCCACUACUCUCGCAUCCCACGGUACUACUGGAAGGAUCGACUCCUCAAGAUGUACAUGGCUGGACUGAACGCCAUUCAAGUCUACGUGCCCUGGAACUUCCACGAGCCAGUGCAGGGUGUGUACAACUUCGAAGGGGGUCGGGACCUGGAGCACUUCCUGGGCCUAGCCAAUGAGACAGGCCUGCUGGUCAUCCUGCGUCCCGGGCCGUACAUCUGUGCCGAGUGGGAGAUGGGUGGUCUGCCUGCGUGGUUACUGGAGAAGCCAAACAUUAUGCUGCGGACAGCUGAUACAGAUUACCUGCAGGCGGUAAGCAGCUGGUUUGCCAUGCUGCUGCCCAGGAUGGAGCGGUGGCUGUACAGCCAAGGGGGCAACAUCAUAUCUGUGCAGGUGGAGAACGAGUACGGAAGCUACUUCGCCUGCGACUACAACUACCUGCGCCACCUGCGCACACUCGUCCAGAACUUCCUGGGCGAGGACACGGUUCUCUUCACCACCGACGGGAACACGGACCGCGAGAUGGUCUGCGGAACCCUGCAGGGCCUUUACGCCACCAUUGACUUUGGCACUGACACCAACAUCAGCACUGCUUUCGAUCGCCAGAGGAGGUUUGAACCCAGAGGGCCGUUGGUGAACUCUGAGUUCUACACAGGCUGGCUAGACCACUGGGGUGACCGGCACGCCUCCGUGGACGCGCAGAAGGUCAGCAAGAUGCUGGGGGAGAUGCUCGCCAUGGGGGCCAACGUCAACAUGUACAUGUUUGAAGGAGGAACAAAUUUUGGCUACUGGAACGGUGCGGACCACGACUCCAGGUACCGCUCAGUGGUGACGAGUUACGACUACAACGCCCCUCUGAACGAAGCAGGAGACCCCACAGAGAAGCUACUGGUCAUCAGAGACGUCAUCAGUAAGGUAGAUAUCAGAGACGUUGACGUUGCCAGUAAGGUAGAUAUCGGAGACGUCAUCAGUAAGGUAGAUAUCGGAAACGUCGUCAGUAAGGUAGAUAUCGGAGACGUCAUCAGUAAGGUAGAUAUCGGAGACGUCAUCAGUAAGGUAGAUAUCGGAGACGUUGCCAGUAAGGUAAAUAUCGGAGACGUUGUCAGUAAGGUAGAUAUCAGAGACGUCAUCAGUAAGGUAGAUAUCGGAGACGUUGACGUUGCCAGUAAGGUAGAUAUCGGAGACGUCAUCAGUAAGGUAGAUAUUGGAGACGUUGCCAGUAAGGUAAAUAUCGGAGACGUUGUCAGUAAGGUAGUUAUUGGAGACGUUGCCAGUAAGGUAGAUAUCGGAGACGUCAUCAGUAAGGUAGAUAUCGGAAACGUCGUCAGUAAGGUAGAUAUUGGAGACGUCGUCAGUAAAGUAGAUAUCGGAGACGUCAUCAGUAAGGUAGAUAUCGGAGACGUCAUCAGUAAGGUAGAUAUCGGAAACGUCGUCAGUAAGGUAGAUAUCGGAAACGUCGUCAGUAAGGUAGAUAUUGGAGACGUCGUCAGUAAGAUAGAUAUCGGAGACGUCAUCAGUAAGGUAGAUAUCGGAGACAUUGACGUUGCCAGUAAGGUAGAUAUCGGAGACGUUGCCAGUAAGGUAAAUAUCGGAGACGUUGUCAGUAAGGUAGUUAUUGGAGACGUUGCCAGUAAGGUAGAUAUCGGAGACGUCAUCAGUAAGGUAGAUAUCGGAAACGUCGUCAGUAAGGUAGAUAUUGGAGACGUCGUCAGUAAAGUAGAUAUCGGAGACGUCGCCAGUAAGGUAGAUAUCAGAGACGUCAUCAGUAAGUUUCGGAAGGUCCCUGAAGGUCCCAUGCCUCCAGCCACGCCCAAGAUGGAGUACGGCUUUGUGACGCUUCAGAGGGUGGGCAACACCAGUGGCCUGCUGGACGUCUUGACCCCUCAGGGCCCUGUGCAGUCCCACCAACCCCUCACCUUCGAGGAGAUCAAACACCUUUAUGGAUUUGUGCUGUAUCGAACCAAGCUGCCGAGGAGCAUUCCAGACGGCCAACCUCUCAUCUCGCCUCUGAAUGGCAUCCACGACCGCGCUUACGUCUCCGUCAACGGGGUGUACCAGGGCCUGCUGCAGCGAGACACGGAGCUGGUCAUGAACGUGACUGGUCAGGAGGGAGACCUGCUGGACGUCCUGGUGGAGAACAUGGGGCGGGUCAACUUCGGCAGCAAGAUCCACGACAACAAGGGCAUCCUGGGUGAGCUCAUCCUGGGAAGGAACGUGCUCACCGAUUGGCUGAUCUUCCCUCUGGACAUCGACGGCGCCAUCUCUAGCGGUUGGCCCCACACGGUGCUCCGAGGCUGGCCCCAUCCCCCAGAGACGGGGCCGGGCGAUGGGACGGGACCCACCGUCUACAUGGGCACUCUGCCGCCGAAUGGCCUGGCUUGGGACACCUACCUCAAACUCACCGGCUGGACCAAGGGUCAGGUGUGGAUUAACGGGGUGAAUCUGGGCCGGUACUGGCCCACGCGUGGUCCGCAGCAGACGCUGUACGUGCCGGGGCCGCUGCUUAGCCAGUCCCGACCCAACAACAUCACAGUGCUGGAGCUGGAGGCGGCACCUGCCCACCCGCGAGUGCUCUUCAUGGACCGCCCGCAACUCAACACCACACCUGGGAAACCAUGACACACACACACACACACACCGACCGCCCGCAACUCAACACCACACCUGGGAAACCAUGACCAGACACACACACACACACACACACAAAACAGACAAACUUUACGUGGACCGCCCGCAACUCAACACCACUGAGUGGAAUCAUACACACACACUCUUUAUACACACACACAAUCUUUAUUCACACACACACUCUUUUCAUGGACCACUCACAACUUGCCAUAGAGGUGCCAUGGCUACAAUGCCAUAAAGGUCAAACACACACACACACACACUUUGCUGCUGCUGCACAACUGAUCAUUCAGCAUGUUUGCUUCCCUACCUGACUGGAGGUAGAGGGAGAAAUUCAACCCCAAACUCUCCACCUUCCCCAGAUCUUAGCCAAUCACCACCUUCCCCAGAUCUUAGCCAAUCAUCACCGUGCACAUCUGCCAAAACUGUGCCCACACAUGAAGCUAAAGAUUAGACUAAAUGCCAUAUAAGUAUUCUAGUGAAGUGCUUUAUUAAUGAAGGGAGCGUGUGAUGUGAUCUCAUUGCAAUGUCAUGACAUCUCACCCAACGUAAUGCAGAGUCGACAGACUGGACAACUACACUGAAGUCCUGCAGUAACAGUCUGGACAAUCAGGACUAGCACUCAAGCCAAAUUAGCUUGAUGUCAGGUUAAGUAAAUGAACUGGUAAGAUCAUGCAAUCCCUAUUUGAGGUCCUGUUAUAUAACUGCUGAUCAGCUGAUCAAACUGCAAACUUGUUUUCUGAUUCACACACACACACAGAGUCAAUUGAGGAUUCUGCGCUCAAUAAUUAAUUUAUUUUUGGUUAUUUUUUCAUCUCUCUGUAGCAAAUCCAUCCAGACACAUUUCAAGCAGCUUUAUACAAUUCAUGUAAACAUUGUAAAAGACCAAGGGGGUUUAUCUCUCAAAGCAGCAUCUGUGGGCACCCCAGACUAGAGGACGCUCUUAAGCGUGUACACGCUGGGAUUGACCAAGGCUGCUUUAUGAGAGACCCCUCAGAGGUAAACCGUAAGUCACUGGUUGAUUCAUGUUAUGUGGCACUAUACAUCUCAACAACCACCACGGAGUCUUAUCACCGUGUCUCAACAUUGUGGUUGAAAGAGACCCUGGCUGGGAAAUAUACAAAUGGACAACACCAAAUUGUAAGGAGUAUGGUGAGGUAUGGAGACACACGUCAGGCUGAUGUGCCAGGAACUCUCACUGAGAUACAGGAAGUGUCAUCGUUCUGGAACUCUGCUGUUCAACUGUUGUGAUCAUGAACAUGAUGUUUGCUGUGCUUCUCCUCAUUUCAUAUACAAGAUUUUGUAAAUAUGUUGUUCAUUUGAGAUAGAAUUAAACCGAUUUUUGAAUAA